rnacentral:misc_RNA from 1 species
UAUAACCGCGCUCGCGUGGCUCAGAGCAUAUACAGUAUAUAGGAUAACACUAAAGUUUCAACCUUCGUCCAGAUUAGUGGUACUGCGCUCUUCAAACAGAACUGGAGUUUCUCGUGGUCUUCGUCCAACAUCGGGAAGAGGUGGCCUCGCCAUUAUCCUCUGUCGAAGCUCCCCGUAUCCGAUCUCGCCGUUUCAUUCUCUCUGCAUACACAUUGAUGUCAAAGUCGGCCGUGUUUCUUCCUCCAAAUAUAUGCUCCAGCUCGUCCAGGUCGAACAUGUCGCCCAGUAUCUUCUGGCUCUCCGAACUGUCGUUGUACACAAAUUUCACUUUUUCGUCCAUUUUUGGCUCGAGGAAAUGUUUC